AGUGUGUGUGCAACAUUAUUGUUAAGUGUUCAUGAGCUGGAUUGCCUGAGGGAAGAGACUGUUCUUAUGCCUGGCCGCUCUGGUGCUCAGU